AGAGUUUGACCAUGGCUCAGAUUGAACGCUGGCGGCAGGCCUAACACAUGCAAGUCGAACGGUAACAGGAAGAAGCUUGCUUCUUUGCUGACGAGUGGCGGACGGGUGAGUAAUGUCUGGGAAACUGCCUGAUGGAGGGGGAUAACUACUGGAAACGGUAGCUAAUACCGCAUAACGUCGCAAGACCAAAGAGGGGGACCUUCGGGCCUCUUGCCAUCGGAUGUGCCCAGAUGGGAUUAGCUAGUAGGUGGGGUAACGGCUCACCUAGGCGACGAUCCCUAGCUGGUCUGAGAGGAUGACCAGCCACACUGGAACUGAGACACGGUCCAGACUCCUACGGGAGGCAGCAGUGGGGAAUAUUGCACAAUGGGCGCAAGCCUGAUGCAGCCAUGCCGCGUGUAUGAAGAAGGCCUUCGGGUUGUAAAGUACUUUCAGCGGGGAGGAAGGGAGUAAAGUUAAUACCUUUGCUCAUUGACGUUACCCGCAGAAGAAGCACCGGCUAACUCCGUGCCAGCAGCCGCGGUAAUACGAAGGGUGCAAGCGUUAAUCGGAAUUACUGGGCGUAAAGCGCACGCAGGCGGUUUGUUAAGUCAGAUGUGAAAUCCCCGGGCUCAACCUGGGAACUGCAUCUGAUACUGGCAAGCUUGAGUCUCGUAGAGGGGGGUAGAAUUCCAGGUGUAGCGGUGAAAUGCGUAGAGAUCUGGAGGAAUACCGGUGGCGAAGGCGGCCCCCUGGACGAAGACUGACGCUCAGGUGCGAAAGCGUGGGGAGCAAACAGGAUUAGAUACCCUGGUAGUCCACGCCGUAAACGAUGUCGACUUGGAGGUUGUGCCCUUGAGGCGUGGCUUCCGGAGCUAACGCGUUAAGUCGACCGCCUGGGGAGUACGGCCGCAAGGUUAAAACUCAAAUGAAUUGACGGGGGCCCGCACAAGCGGUGGAGCAUGUGGUUUAAUUCGAUGCAACGCGAAGAACCUUACCUGGUCUUGACAUCCACGGAAGUUUUCAGAGAUGAGAAUGUGCCUUCGGGAACCGUGAGACAGGUGCUGCAUGGCUGUCGUCAGCUCGUGUUGUGAAAUGUUGGGUUAAGUCCCGCAACGAGCGCAACCCUUAUCCUUUGUUGCCAGCGGUCCGGCCGGGAACUCAAAGGAGACUGCCAGUGAUAAACUGGAGGAAGGUGGGGAUGACGUCAAGUCAUCAUGGCCCUUACGACCAGGGCUACACACGUGCUACAAUGGCGCAUACAAAGAGAAGCGACCUCGCGAGAGCAAGCGGACCUCAUAAAGUGCGUCGUAGUCCGGAUUGGAGUCUGCAACUCGACUCCAUGAAGUCGGAAUCGCUAGUAAUCGUGGAUCAGAAUGCCACGGUGAAUACGUUCCCGGGCCUUGUACACACCGCCCGUCACACCAUGGGAGUGGGUUGCAAAAGAAGUAGGUAGCUUAACCUUCGGGAGGGCGCUUACCACUUUGUGAUUCAUGACUGGAGUGAAGUCGUAACAAGGUA
rnacentral:rRNA from 1 species